UCGGAUUGAAGGCUGAAAUUCGCCUUCAUGAAGCUGGAAUUGCUAGUAAUGGCAGGUCAGCAUACUGCCGUGAAUACGUUCCCGGGCCUUGUACACACCGCCCGUCACACCAUGAGAGUUGGGAAUACCCGAAGCCUGUGAGCUAACUGUAAGGAGGCAGCAGUCGAAGGUAGAAUCAAUGAUUGGGGGUGAAGUCGUAACAAGGUACC
rnacentral:rRNA from 1 species